rnacentral:piRNA from 1 species
UGACAUCAGCAACUGUCUCAGAUCUGG